rnacentral:rRNA from 1 species
AGAGUUUGAUCAUGGCUCAGGACGAACGCUGGCGGCGUGCUUAAUACAUGCAAGUCGAGCGGACCUUUGCCGUUUGUUGCCGGUUUCCGGCGACAAAUGGCAACGGUUAGCGGCGAACGGGUGAGUAACGCGUGGGUAAUCUGCCCCCAAGACCGGGAUAACAGAGCGAAAGCGCUGCUAAUACCGGAUGACCUCUCUUUAUCGCAUGGUGAAGGGAGCAAAGCUACGGCGCUUGGGGAUGAGCCCGCGUUCCAUUAGCUAGUUGGUGAGGUAACAGCUCACCAAGGCGACGAUGGAUAGCCGGCCUGAGAGGGUGACCGGCCACACUGGGACUGAGACACGGCCCAGACUCCUACGGGAGGCAGCAGUAGGGAAUUUUCGGCAAUGGGGGAAACCCUGACCGAGCAACGCCGCGUGAGGGAUGAAGGCCUUCGGGUCGUAAACCUCUGUCUUUGGGGACGAUAAUGACGGUACCCGAGGAGGAAGCCCCGGCUAACUACGUGCCAGCAGCCGCGGUAAUACGUAGGGGGCGAGCGUUGUCCGGAAUUACUGGGCGUAAAGGGCGUGUAGGCGGCCUGUUAAGUCAGGCGUGAAAACCCCGGGCUUAACCUGGGGACUGCGUUUGAAACUGGCGGGCUUGAGGGCAGGAGAGGAAAGUGGAAUUCCCGGUGUAGCGGUGAUAUGCGUAGAUACCGGGAGGAACACCAGUGGCGAAGGCGGCUUUCUGGACUGCACCUGACGCUGAGGCGCGAAAGCCAGGGGAGCGAACGGGAUUAGAUACCCCGGUAGUCCUGGCCGUAAACGAUGGGUACUAGGUGUGGGAGGUAUCGACUCCUUCCGUGCCGGAGUUAACACAAUAAGUACCCCGCCUGGGGAGUACGGCCGCAAGGCUGAAACUCAAAGGAAUUGACGGGGGCCCGCACAAGCGGUGGAGCAUGUGGUUUAAUUCGAUGCAACGCGAAGAACCUUACCAGGUCUUGACAUCUUCCUGACAGGUGUGGAAACACACUUUUCCUUCGGGACAGGAAGACAGGUGGUGCAUGGCUGUCGUCAGCUCGUGUCGUGAGAUGUUGGGUUAAGUCCCGCAACGAGCGCAACCCUCAUCCUUAGUUGCCAGCGGUUUGGCCGGGCACUCUAAGGAGACUGCCAGUGACAAACUGGAGGAAGGCGGGGAUGACGUCAAAUCAUCAUGCCCCUUAUGGACUGGGCUACACACGUGCUACAAUGGUGGCUACAAAGGGAGGCGACCCUGUGAAGGUGAGCAAAUCCCAAAAAGGCCAUCCCAGUUCGGAUUGUAGUCUGCAACUCGACUACAUGAAGCCGGAAUCGCUAGUAAUCGCGAAUCAGCAUGUCGCGGUGAAUACGUUCCCGGGUCUUGUACACACCGCCCGUCACACCAUGGGAGUCGGAAAUGCCCGAAGUCAGUGACCCAACCGUAAGGAGGGAGCUGCCGAAGGUGGAGCCGAUGACUGGGGUGAAGUCGUAACAAGGUAGCC